UUAAACUAGGGAUUAGAUACCCUAUUAUUAAAAUUUAAAUAUAAAAUACUAAAAUAGUAGAUAAUUAUUUAUUGAAACUUAAAUAAUUUGGCGGUAUUUUAGUUCAUUUAGAGGAAUCUGUUUAAUAAUUGAUAAUCCACGAAUAAAUUUACUUAAAUUUUUUUAUUUUGUAUAUCGUUGUUAAAAAAAUAUUUUUUAAUAAUAAAUAAUAUUUAGAAAUUUAAAUAAAAAAUUAAAUCAGAUCAAGAUGCAGAUUAUAAUUAAGAAUAUAAUGGAUUACAAUAAAUUUAUUUAAAUGAAUAUUAAUUUGUAAAAUUUAAUUGAAAGUGGAUUUAAAUGUAA
rnacentral:rRNA from 1 species